AGGGCUGAUACAGUAUUACUCCAUACUACACUCCAAUACUACAACAAGGUGCAGCCGACAGCCACAGAGAGGUACGAUGCGGUGUAGCAGUGAACCCCGCGCUGCUGGUUCAGGACCAGGACGUUCUGGUAGAUGGGGACUGAGUUCAUGUUGUAUUUGUUGGGCUGUCCGGGGUUGGGACUGGAACAGAAGCUGCUGCUGCACUCGGCUUCCCAGAGGGUGGCGGGGAUCCGGUUCUUCACGGUGGACGACCUGAGCAAACGACAGCAACGGAGUCAAAACAAGAUCAAGUGCUGCCCACAGAUACGGAGUCCCACAGACUGACCUCCAGCUCCACGGAGACAGCGAUCUGCUGUGGAUGUUCCCGUUUCCCUCAGACGAGGAGGCGACGUCUGAGGAGAACGCCAACGUGGAGUCACAACCAGGAGGAGAAGCAUUCACCGAGGAGGAGACGACCCACAAUACACUGCAACAUACCUGCAGAGAGGACACAUUAUUACUAUAGAGUAUCAGAUGCAUUUGUUUAUAAAUGGGCAGAAAUGACAUUUCUUCACCAACCAGUGGUGUUACCUCAAAUACUGUACUUUUUAUUUUAUGCAAAAAUCUUUAAAUAGAGUUGUAUCCCUUGGCUAACGAUGGCUAAGACACACAAAAAAGCUGAAAGUGAAUUAUGUAAUAAACUCUUAUUAGGGAGAUAUUUAUUGAUUUCUUAGCAAAAAUAAAUUUUAAUUUCUGUUGGGAUUAACAAGUGAGGUUCUACAGUCAGUCAGACAUUUUCAAAUAAAAGGGACUAAUAAAAUAAAUAAAUAAAUUAGUCUAAUCAUGAUGAUUAGUUGAUUUACUGGUGACCAUACUGUAUGUGCUUUUCAUCUGAGUAGCUGGAUGCAUUAAAGAUACCUAACAUAAGUUGUUAAUAUGAUUACGAGAGAACUCAAAAUAUACUGUAACAACAUACAGAAACUGCUCGCCGUGGCUUUUUUGGGACUCCGUACAAAAAAGAAAGCGGCUCUGCAUUUACUUCACUGGUUUAAUCCAUAUCUCGUAUAAUUGUGGCUCCCCCACACAAACACACAGGUUUAUAAUGUAUAUGAUUUAUUUGUUAAUUUAAAUCCGAAUCUUCGCUCUAAAUUUCUAAUUUCUAACAUAGAUGUAAAUAUGGAUGUAUCAGAGGAAAUGUUUGAGCGAUGCUCAUUUUGUGUCCAUUAUCUCAGUUUAUUUUUGUCUUAUCAAGACUUUUAACAGUUGAUAUCAGCUGAUAUUCAGCUGACUUGCCGCUUCAUUGAAACUUAGUUAUCCCCUUUUUAUAUACUCUAUUUGAAUUCUCGGAGAUGUGGUCUGGAAGCAGAGUAAUUUGUCAUCAUUUCGUACGGUUAAUAAAGUUAUUGCUCACCAGCAGAUUGCAGGCACUGUGUCUCGGCUUCAUGUUGUCGACGUGGUCGUGUGCAGCUUCUGUGCGCCAACUGCUCUGAGUUCAGGUGUUUUUAUGAUGGUCUUACUGUCAGAUCUGAUCACAGCAGAUCCCUUGAGCUGAUAAGCAGACGUGACAUGAGAGGGGAGAUUCCUCUUAUCUCGCCUGCUGAUCGACACGUUGUGAACAACACGUUUUCUUCACUGAUAACAUCUCUGACAGACAGA